UACGUAGGCAGCAAGCGUUGUUCGGAGUUACUGGGCGUAAAGGGUGUGUAGGCGGUUGUUUAAGUUUGGUGUGAAAUCUCCCGGCUCAACUGGGAGGGUGCGCCGAAUACUGAAUGACUUCGAGUGCGGGAGAGGAAAGUGGAAUUCCUGGUGUAGCGGUGAAAUGCGUAGAUAUCAGGAGGAACACCGGUGGCGAAGGCGGCUAUCUGGACAGAGUCUGACGCUGAGGCGCGAAAGCUAGGGGAGCAAACAGG
rnacentral:rRNA from 1 species